UGGAUCCAGACUUUGAUCCUGGCUCAGGAUGAACGCUAGCUACGGGCUUAACACAUGCAAGUCGAGGGGCAGCAUCAUCAAAGCUUGCUUUGAUGGAUGGCGACCGGCGCACGGGUGAGUAACACGUAUCCAACCUGCCGACAACACUGGGAUAGCCUUUCGAAAGAAAGAUUAAUACCGGAUGGCAUAAUUAUUCCGCAUGGGAUAAUUAUUAAAGAAUUUCGGUUGUCGAUGGGGAUGCGUUCCAUUAGGCAGUUGGCGGGGUAACGGCCCACCAAACCUACGAUGGAUAGGGGUUCUGAGAGGAAGGUCCCCCACAUUGGAACUGAGACACGGUCCAAACUCCUACGGGAGGCAGCAGUGAGGAAUAUUGGUCAAUGGACGAGAGUCUGAACCAGCCAAGUAGCGUGAAGGAUGACUGCCCUAUGGGUUGUAAACUUCUUUUAUACGGGAAUAAAGUUAGCCACGUGUGGUUUUUUGUAUGUACCGUAUGAAUAAGGAUCGGCUAACUCCGUGCCAGCAGCCGCGGUAAUACGGAGGAUCCGAGCGUUAUCCGGAUUUAUUGGGUUUAAAGGGAGCGUAGGCGGGUUGUUAAGUCAGUUGUGAAAGUUUGCGGCUCAACCGUAAAAUUGCAGUUGAUACUGGCGUCCUUGAGUGCGGUUGAGGUGUGCGGAAUUCGUGGUGUAGCGGUGAAAUGCUUAGAUAUCACGAAGAACUCCGAUUGCGAAGGCAGCACACUAAUCCGUAACUGACGUUCAUGCUCGAAAGUGUGGGUAUCAAACAGGAUUAGAUACCCUGGUAGUCCGCACGGUAAACGAUGAAUGCUCGCUAUGGGCGA
rnacentral:rRNA from 1 species